ACCACCACCGGCGAACCAGUCUCGCGAAACAUGGCUCGCGGAGCACUGCCUAGGGCCGCGUCGGUCCCGGAGGGCGACCUCCGGACUGGCGGCGGGGAGUGCGUCCCGACGAGCGCUUAUAAAACCCCUCGGGCGCGGCCAGCGCCAAGGAAUUCGAGCGGAGAGGGCGGUCGGCCCACCCGGUGCGAGCCUAUCCCGGCCGGUGCCGGCGUGCGGAGCCGCCGCCCGCCUGUAAUCGCGUAGAUGACUCUCGGCAACGGAUAUCUCGGCUCUCGCAUCGAUGAAGAACGUAGCGAAAUGCGAUACUUGGUGUGAAUUGCAGAAUCCCGUGAACCAUCGAGUCUUUGAACGCAAGUUGCGCCCGAGGCCACUCGGCCGAGGGCACGUCUGCCUGGGCGUCACGCCACCCAUCGCUCCCCCCCCAGCAUUCCACGCCCUGCGGGGGAGGGCGGAGACUGGCCGCCCGUGCCCGACUCCUCGGCGCGCGGCCGGCAGAAAUGGAGGACACCGUGCGGCGCGACGCGGCGUGUGGGGGCUGAGAGGCGAAUCGCCGUCGAUCGUACGUCGUGCUGGCAUUCGGCCGCGCGCAGUGUCACCCGCGAGACCCAACUCGCCCGCAGCCGCGGGCGUUCGGACCGCGACCCCAGG
rnacentral:rRNA from 1 species